GACAGAGGGUGCAAACGUUGUUCGGAAUUACUGGGCGUAAAGCGCGUGUAGGCGGCCAACUAAGUCGGGCGUGAAAUCCCACGGCUCAACCGUGGAAGUGCACUCGAAACUGGAUGGCUAGAGUCCUGGAGAGGAAGGUGGAAUGCUUGGUGUAGAGGUGAAAUUCGUAGAUAUCAAGCGGAACACCAGUGGCGAAGGCGACAUACUGGGUCAUGACUGACGCUGAGGCUCGAAAGCGUGGGGAGCAAACAGG
rnacentral:rRNA from 1 species